CGCAAGCCUGACGGAGCAAGACCGCGUGGGGGAGGAAGGCUCUUGGGUUGUAAACCCCUUUUCUCAGGGAAGAACCAAAUGACGGUACCUGAGGAAUCAGCCUCGGCUAACUCCGUGCCAGCAGCCGCGGUAAUACGGAGGAGGCAAGCGUUAUCCGGAAUUAUUGGGCGUAAAGCGUCCGCAGGUGGCUAAUCAAGUCUGCUGUUAAAGACAGAAGCUCAACUUCUGAGCAGCGGUGGAAACUGGAGAGCUAGAGUACGGUAGGGGUUGAGGGAAUUCCCAGUGUAGCGGUGAAAUGCGUAGAUAUUGGGAAGAACACCAGUGGCGAAGGCGCUCAACUGGGCCGUAACUGACACUGAGGGACGAAAGCUAGGGGAGCG
rnacentral:rRNA from 1 species